rnacentral:lncRNA from 1 species
UAGAUUUCCUGGCAAAUGUAGAAAAGGCAAACGUAGGGCCGAGUGAUCUACUGAUGACACAGCUAUUUGGACCUCCACCCAGCCCUUCAAGGAUUCCCAGGAUCAGUAAGAACCACUUCUGGCACUGUCAUUCAGAUGACAUAAAAGUGAAGUUACAAAGCUCCUUAAAUAAAUACGUUCUGCUGUCCAUGUCGGGAUGUAAUUAUUCACUAAGUCCCAUUCCAAAAGGCACUUUGAUGAAUGUACCAGAGGGCAUGUGAGAGAAAUCCUUUUCUCCAGUAUUUAUGAGGGGAAACUAUGAUGGGGGAAAAACUCAGGCUGGUCACUACUGAGAAGACUCUAACAGGUCCUAGAGACGGCUGAUACCUUUGAAUGCAUUGUCCAGGCUUCAGUUUGAGCCCAUGUGUUAACUGGCAGCACAGUAAUCGACCCUUAGGCUUUGUAUGCAGAAGUUACCAACAGAGGAUGAAAUGUAUUUCGCCAGUGAAUUUUAUUAGAUAAUGUGUGGGUUUCCUUGAUGUAUUGUAAGACAGUCUCAAGACUUUUGUGCUCUUAUACUUGUGGCUGCUUUUUCCUGUGUCUCCUAAUCCCUUUCUGCUUUUCUCAUGUCUUUCCCAGCCUGUAGCUCCCUUCCAACUUUUCCCUCUUCUCUCUCUGUGUUCAGGUCUGGUCCCUCGCCUCUGUCUGGAUGCUGGUAGGGAAACAGCCAUUUCUUCCUCUGGUGCACAUUGCUUCCCAGUAAUCUCUAGUCAUGAGCUGAAUCAAAUUCACCUUAGCCUAGAGCAUGUUUAGUCCAGACAGAACAUCUGAGACUUGUUUAUCAAACCUCUGUUGCCUGUGUAUGAAUGCUUUUCAGACUCUUGCAACUUGGCUGUAUUUACAUGGAUUUUCACACAGUAACGAAAGGCACCUGCCAGUUUAAUAGUUUUGCACUUAUUUCUUCUGCUCUCAUUCUCAGAAAUAACUGGAGCCUAUUUAUUUCUAAGGAAGUUUUAAUUUUUAGGCACACAGUCGUCAUGGAAAAUUUCAAUUCUAAUGGUUAAAAUUUGACAAAUACAUAAACAACUGAAACCAAAGGUAUGAAUUGGAAAUUGUUAAGCAGCAUUAACCAUAGGCAUCUCUUGGCUGUGGUACCUCAGACGCGUAGCUGUAGCUGAAACUGCCGAUAGCAGUGCGUACUCGCUAGUACCAUUUCCAUCCCAUACAAAUCUUUCCAGCUAAUAAAGGAAAGCUCCCAACGACA